CUUUUCCCCACAGAUGAUGGAUACAAUACAUUUCACAUAAUUGAAGCUGUCUAUAGUGACUAUCUUAUUUUAUAUCUCAGUAAUGUUAAGGAUGAGGAAGAAAUCCAAGUGAUGGAGCUCUAUGCCCGAAAACCAAAUGUGAGCCCAAAACUCAAGGAAAGGUUUAGAAAACUUUGCCAAAAAAAUGGAAUUACUAAGAAAAACAUACUGGACUUGACCAAAGUCGAUCGCUGUCUCCAGGCUCGAGGGAGCCAUGAUGCCCAGGCCUCCAGUGCUGAGUGAAUGCUUCCUCACCUGGGCUCCAGGAUCUUCAUUCCAUGGUCCCUGUGUCAGCCUGUGACAAGGUCUGCAACCUGAUCUCCAUCACUAUCAUCCAAGAAGGCCUUAUCUCUGAAUCUAAAGGAUCUUCUCUAAUUGUCUGGACUCUAGACAGACUCAACAAUUCACCAAGAAUCAAAGGUUUCCUCCAAAUUUCUGACUCUGUUUGCCAUACCCAGCACUCUACCAUGAAUAAGACUUCCUAUACCUGAUCAAUAAAUGGUUAUUCUUGCAGUCA